rnacentral:rRNA from 1 species
AGGGUGUAAACGCUGCAGACUUGGUGUUGGAAGUCCUUUGGGGGCAUUCAGUGCCGGAGAGAAGUUGUUAAGUCUGCUACUUGGGGAGUACGUCCGCAAGGAUGAAACUUAAAGGAAUUGGCGGGGGAGCACCGCAACGGGAGGAGCGUGCGGUUUAAUUGGAUUCAACGCCGUAAAACUCACCAGGGAAGACUGUUACAUGAAAGCCGAGAUGAAGACUCUGCUAGAUUUUCAGAGAGGUGGUGCAUGGCGUCAGUGACU